UCUUCCCCUAAUCCCCACCUUCUAAAUUUCCAAUUAAAGGGACUAGAUGAGAUCACAGAAUCAGAAUCUUGGACCUUAUUACUCGUCAGGUCUAAGUAUCCUCGAUGCAGGCAGGAAUUCUGCUGCAGCCUGCUCAGCCAAACACACCUGCCUCUGGUGCUCUAUUUCCUAUUGCUAAAAAGGUCUCUAAGGUCACGUUUAGGUCUCACUUUGCGUCUUCACCAGCAAUUUUCCGUUUUUGUUUUCUCAUCUGUAAAGCGAGGGGGGAGGCGGGACUAUUUCUGUGAUAAUCUUCAGUUCUAGGAUAAUUUGGGGAAAAGGAUCUCUUUAAUGCUUUGGAUAUUGCCAAUAGGUAGAAAUCCUCUUUGAUGAGUGUUAUCUUUAUUUUCAGUUCCGAAGCAAUCUAAGGGCAACAGAUAAGAAUAAGGAUGCCCCGAAACUGGCUGUCUUUGUUCCCGGCCAGAAACAGUGAAGGGAGUAACCCGGUGGCCAUAUUUAUUUCUGGCAAUUGAAGGCCGCGAGAGGAGCUGAAGCCGCUCGCUGCCAUGCCUAGUGCUGGCAGGAUACGGUCAAGACCUUGCGCCCCGCUAGUCUAAUGUCGUGGCUCUUCUUUGCUGAUCCUACCCGCUCUAGUUUUAAACCAGCGGUUCCAGGGUUCUCCCGGCCUCUCUCUGUCCCCCGCCCCGAGGCUGGGAAGGCCUAAAGCGAAGACAGAGAGAGGACCCGGAAGUUGUGGUGACCUCCAAAAGCACGUGAUGAGGGACCCGCUGGUGUUGUCACGUGAGCCGCCCACCUGCGGUACCUCGGGGCCGAACUUGCAGCUGCUCUUAAAGACCCUCAUCCGCCGGGUCAGAGCCAAGCCUGGACUCUCGCUGACUUCAUUGAACCCUUCGCGGGAUCUGAACUUGAUGCCAUGGGAGGGUGUGCGGGCUCGCGGCGGCGCCUUUUGGAUUCCGAGGGGGAGGAGACCGCCCCCGAACCUCGGCCCCGUCUGUUAGACCGUCAGGGAGCCCUUUGGAAGAACGCGAUGGGUUUCUGGCUCCUGGGCCUUUGCAACAACUUUUCCUAUGUGGUGAUGCUCAGCGCUGCCCAUGACAUCCUUAGCCACCAGAGGGCAUCCGGGAACCAAAGCCAUGUAGACCCAGACCCAGCGCCCACCACCCGCAAUAGUUCAUCCCGAUUUGACUGCAACUCUGUCUCCACGGCUGCGGUGCUCCUGGCCGACAUCCUCCCCACCCUCGUCAUCAAAUUGCUGGCCCCUCUUGGUCUUCAUCUGUUGCCCUACAGCCCCCGGGUGCUCGUCAGUGGGAUUUGUUCUGCGGGAAGCUUCAUCCUGGUUGCCUUUUCUCAUUCAGUGGGGACCAGCCUGUGUGGUGUGGUCUUGGCUAGCAUCUCGUCAGGUCUGGGGGAGGUCACCUUCCUCUCGCUCACCGCCUUCUACCCCAGGGCCGUGAUCUCCUGGUGGUCCUCAGGAACCGGGGGAGCAGGGCUGCUGGGAGCGUUGUCCUACCUGGGCCUCACCCAGGCUGGCCUCUCCCCCCAGCACACCCUGCUGUCCAUGCUGGGUAUCCCCACCCUGCUGCUGGCCAGCUAUUUCUUUUUGCUCACAUCUCCCGAGCCCCAGGACCCUGGAGGGGAGGAAGAGGCAGAGACAUCAGCCCGGCAGCCCCUGAUAAACAGCGAGGCCCCCGAGGCGAAGCCAGACUCCAGCUCGAACCUCUCCCUUCAGGAAAGGUGGACCGUGUUCAAGGGCCUGCUGUGGUACAUCGUCCCCUUGGUCCUGGUCUACUUUGCGGAGUAUUUCAUCAAUCAGGGGCUUUUUGAGCUCCUGUUCUUCCGGAACACGUCCCUGACUCACGCUCAGCAGUACCGCUGGUACCAGAUGCUCUACCAGGCCGGCGUCUUUGUGUCCCGCUCUUCUCUCCGCUGCUGUCGAAUCCGCUUCACGUGGGUCCUGGCCCUGCUGCAGGUACCGAGCCCAGCCCUCCCUCUGUUCCCACCGUAGCUCCCGGCUUCCCAGACCCCAGGCUUCCCUCCCUCAGCAGGAAUUAUUUAUUGCUCACCAUCAGGCUCUGGGCCCGGGGGACAGAAGGCCAGCAGGGCUCCGGCUCUGCGUAAAACGCGUGGCCUCGGCAGCCUGGCAAACCUGGGUGCAAAUCCCAGCUUGUGUACUCUGUAGCUGGGUGACUUAGGGCCGGUCUCUACACCAGCCUGAGCCUAGAGCGCCUCCUCUAUAAAUCGGGUGUGGCCAACACCUACUUGUCAGGACAGUCGUAGGAAAUAGAGGUGAGAGGAAGAAGAAGAAAAUGAGAUUUUGUAUUCUGUUUUAACCCAUUAGAAGCACUCACUUAAUGGUUAUUUCCACAAGCCUCGUGCAGAGACACAGGGUUUCAAAUAAUGUUUCUAAGGAUAAAAAAAAUGUACCAUUCUUUUAUUCUGGAUGGUUCAUUGUAAUAGAAUCGGUGAUGUCGUAGUCAACAGGCUAUUGACCUCAAGGCUGGCGAGCAAAUUUUGACUUCCCACAGCAAAAGUAUUACAGCGUUAAGUGCACAAACACCAUCCACUCCCAACGGUCUAACCCAAGUAGCUUCACAUAACCAGCCUUCGCUGUUUCAAGGUCAUGUGUCUACAGCCCCUGGAGGUAACUCUCAAACUACAUCUUUGGUUAGUACAGGAAAGUCCUUUUUAAUAAGCUGAGCUCAUGCCUCGGAUAACGAGAUAUAGGGCAAGUGAAGAUUUUGCACUUCCGGGUUAUGACGACGCCAUGUGAAUGGCCUCCAGCUUUCUUCUCUGUUGGUCUGAGCAGUACUGCGAACCCAGGGCUAUGUACCCCCAAAGUGCCAAAGCACUGCGUCAACAAUUCUGAACUCAGUAGAUGCCACUGAAAUGGGUGGCUUGCGAUUUUAGCUGUCCUUUUUUUUUUUUUUUUAAGUGUAUUUAUUUACUUAUUUUGAGAGAGAGCGAGUGUGCACGCGCCAGUGAGCAGGGGAGGGGCAGAGAGAGAGGGAGACACAGAAUCUGAAGCAGGCUCCGGGCUCUGAGCGGUCAGCACAGAGCCCGAUAUAGGGCUUGAACCCGUGAACUGUGAGAUCAUGACCUGAGCUGAAGUCGGAUGCUCAACCGAUGGAGCCACCCAGGCGCCCCUACUGGGUGUGUUCUUUUACGUGCAGGUCUCUGAGCUUACCUCAGACUUCAUGAAUGAGAACCUCUGAGGGCAAGGUCUAUGUGGGUCACCACACCCCCAGGUGUAUGUACAUCAACCUUGUGAGCUGCCACGGUGGCCUACCCACUGGGGAGGCAACCUUGCGUGCUCAGACUUGGGGCACUGGGGAUCCUCUGAAGGACUGGAGCACACAGGAGGGACCUACCCCCUUGGGUGGGGUAGGGUUGGAGAAGCUUCAUAAGAGAACUUGAGAACACUUUAGCCAGAGUUUCUCAACCUCGGCACUGUUGACGUUUGGGGCUGGACCAUCCUUUGUCGUGGGGCCGUUCGUGCCCUGCAGGGGGCUGGGCCUCUGCCUACUCCGUCCCCACUCGUGACAGCCAAGAACAUCUUUACAUAUUGCCAAAUGUCCCCAGGGUGGCUCAGUC